ACGCUGGCGGCGUGCCUAAUACAUGCAAGUAGAACGCUGAAGGAGGAGCUUGCUUCUCCGGAUGAGUUGCGAACGGGUGAGUAACGCGUAGGUAACCUGCCUGGUAGCGGGGGAUAACUAUUGGAAACGAUAGCUAAUACCGCAUAAGAGUAGAUGUUGCAUGACAUUUGCUUAAAAGGUGCAAUUGCAUCACUACCAGAUGGACCUGCGUUGUAUUAGCUAGUUGGUGGGGUAACGGCUCACCAAGGCGACGAUACAUAGCCGACCUGAGAGGGUGAUCGGCCACACUGGGAUUGAGACACGGCCCAGACUCUUACGGGAGGCAGCAGUAGGGAAUCUUCGGCAAUGGACGGAAGUCUGACCGAGCAACGCCGCGUGAGUGAAGAAGGUUUUCGGAUCGUAAAGCUCUGUUGUAAGAGAAGAACGAGUGUGAGAGUGGAAAGUUCACACUGUGACGGUAUCUUACCAGAAAGGGACGGCUAACUACGUGCCAGCAGCCGCGGUAAUACGUAGGUCCCGAGCGUUGUCCGGAUUUAUUGGGCGUAAAGCGAGCGCAGGCGGUUAGAUAAGUCUGAAGUUAAAGGCUGUGGCUUAACCAUAGUACGCUUUGGAAACUGUUUAACUUGAGUGCAAGAGGGGAGAGUGGAAUUCCAUGUGUAGCGGUGAAAUGCGUAGAUAUAUGGAGGAACACCGGUGGCGAAAGCGGCUCUCUGGCUUGUAACUGACGCUGAGGCUCGAAAGCGUGGGGAGCAAACAGGAUUAGAUACCCUGGUAGUCCACGCCGUAAACGAUGAGUGCUAGGUGUUAGACCCUUUCCGGGGUUUAGUGCCGCAGCUAACGCAUUAAGCACUUCCGCCUGGGGAGUACGACCGCAAGGUUGAAACUCAAAGGAAUUGACGGGGGC
rnacentral:rRNA from 1 species